rnacentral:tRNA from 1 species
AAGGGUAUAGCUCAAUGAUAGAGCUCCUACCUAGUGUGCAGGAGGUCCUGGGUUCAAUCCCCAUUACCUCCA